UACGAAGGGGGCUAGCGUUGUUCGGAAUUACUGGGCGUAAAGCGCACGUAGGCGGAUCGAUCAGUCAGGGGUGAAAUCCCAGAGCUCAACUCUGGAACUGCCUUUGAUACUGUCGAUCUAGAGUAUGGAAGAGGUGAGUGGAAUUCCGAGUGUAGAGGUGAAAUUCGUAGAUAUUCGGAGGAACACCAGUGGCGAAGGCGGCUCACUGGUCCAUUACUGACGCUGAGGUGCGAAAGCUAGGGGAGCAAACAGG
rnacentral:rRNA from 1 species